rnacentral:misc_RNA from 1 species
CACUCUCUCCUUCCCUGCCUCUCUCCUGCUUCUCAGUCCUCGUGUCCUAACAUGGAUUCCACGCUCCACCUGGAAUCCCAAAUACGAUAAACCCUAGAUUCACAGAUCAUAAAUCACAACACUACACGAAAUAUGCAUAGAUCUGGAGCUGCUAUGGCUUGGAACGUAUUCAAGUUUUGUACGGCCCUACGUGGCCUAGGCUCGAUCAUGAUCCUGUUGGUGCUUGGGGUUGUGGGUGUCACCUAUUACGCCGUUGUGUUGACCAAUUAUGGCCCCGCUUUGUAUGAUAGCGGGCUUGAUUCUGUCACUGCUCUUGCUCUCUUGAUCCCAUUUCAUUGUUUGUUGGUGAU